AUCACCGCGAUGAUUCAUCGGUAAUUUAUUGAUACGAAUAUGAAUAAAAUUAUUACAAGUGUGCGGAGUAAAUUAAAUGAAAAAAAAUAUUAAUAGCAUUGGAGCCUCUUAACAAGCCUCCUUAUCAGGCGACAGCAAUUAAAUAACCAUGGGAAAUAUUCCCAGCAAUUUUAUAAUUAAAUAUACUGUAAUUUCGUAAUACCAAUGUCAUCGAUAAUGAUGUAAAGUUUAAGUACAACUAAAUAAUUACCAGCAUUUCUGACCCAAGGUGGGUUCUUUCCACCACCGAACGGUGACAUGUUACUCAUCUUUAAUUAAUGAGUGUCAUCCGUCGUGACCGGAAAUGUUGACUAAUGUCGUCUGUGUCGCAAUUGGCGGAGAACUAACGAACUAACGUCCAUUGAACUCCAAAAAAGAAUAUUUUUUGAACAGCGUUGUAAAUGUUACGCAAUUACAAUAAAAACCAGCACGUGGCUGAGUUAUUUUCUAAGUAACAAUAAAAACUAAAAUAAAAUCCGGACAAUAGUAUUUAAAACCACAUUUGUCA